rnacentral:rRNA from 1 species
GACGAACGCUGGCGGCGUGCUUAACACAUGCAAGUCGAACGGAAAGGCCCCUUUGGGGGUACUCGAGUGGCGAACGGGGGCGUAACACGUGAGUAACCUGCCCUUGACUUCGGGAUAACUUCAGGAAACUGGGGCUAAUACCGGAUAGGAAUCCUUGCUGCAUGGGGGGGGUUGGAAAGCUUCGGCGGUUUUGGAUGGACUCGCGGCUUAUCAGCUUGUUGGUGGGGUAGUGGCUUACCAAGGCUUUGACGGGUAGCCGGCCUGAGAGGGCGACCGGCCACAUUGGGACUGAGAUACGGCCCAGACUCCUACGGGAGGCAGCAGUGGGGAAUAUUGCACAAUGGGCGGCAGCCUGAUGCAGCAACGCCGCGUGCGGGAUGACGGCCUUCGGGUUGUAAACCGCUUUCAGCAGGGGCGAAGCUUGUGGUGACGGUACCUGCAGAAGAAGCACCGGCUAACUACGUG